ACGCUGGCGGCACGCCUAACACAUGCAAGUCGAACGAAGUAGCAAUACUUAGUGGCAGACGGGUGAGUAACAUGUAGGUAUCUGCCCUUUGGCCUGGAAUAACACGAGGAAACUUGUGCUAAUACCGGAUAAGUCUUUACGGAGAAAGCUUUAUGCACCAUUGGAUGAGCCUGCACUUGAUUAGUUUGUUGGUGGGGUAAUGGCCUACCAAGACUGUGAUCAAUAGCUGAUUUGAGAGGAUGAUCAGCCACAUUGGGACUGAGACACGGCCCAAACUCCUACGGGAGGCAGCAGUGGGGAAUCUUGCACAAUGGAGGAAACUCUGAUGCAGCGAUGCCGCGUGAGUGAAGAAGGCCUUUGGGUUGUAAAGCUCUUUCGUCGGGGAAGAAAAUGACUGUACCCGAAUAAGAAGGUCCGGCUAACUUCGUGCCAGUAGCCGCGGUAAUACGAAGGGACCUAGCGUAGUUCGGAAUUACUGGGCUUAAAGAGUUCGUAGGUGGUUGAAAAAGUUAGUGGUGAAAUCCCAGAGCUUAACUCUGGAACUGCCAUUAAAACUUUUCAGCUAGAGUAUGAUAGAGGAAAGCAGAAUUUCUAGUGUAGAGGUGAAAUUCGUAGAUAUUAGAAAGAAUACCAAUUGCGAAGGCAGCUUUCUGGAUCAUUACUGACACUGAGGAACGAAAGCAUGGGUAGCGAAGAGGAUUAGAUACCCUCGUAGUCCAUGCCGUAAACGAUGUGUGUUAGACGUUGGAAAUUUAUUUUCAGUGUCGCAGGGAAACCGAUAAACACACCGCCUGGGGAGUACGACCGCAAGGUUAAAACUCAAAUGAAUUGACGGGGACCCGCACAAGUAGUGGAGCAUGUGGUUUAAUUCGAAGAUACGCGCAGAACCUUACCAACACUUGACAUGUUCGUCGCGACUCUAAGAGAUUAGAGUUUUCGGUUCGGCCGGACGAAACACAGGUGCUGCAUGGCUGUCGUCAGCUCGUGUCGUGAGAUGUUGGGUUAAGUCCCGCAACGAGCGCAACCCUCACUUUUAGUUGCCAUCAUUAAGUUGGGCACUCUGAAAGAACUGCCAGUGAUAAGCUGGAGGAAGGUGGGGAUGACGUCAAGUCCUCAUGGCCCUUACGUGUUGGGCUACACACGUGCUACAAUGGUAUCUACAACAGGAAGCAAAACUGCGAAGUUAAGCAAAUCCCUAAAAGAUACCUCAGUUCGGAUUGCACUCUGCAACUCGAGUGCAUGAAGCUGGAAUUACUAGUAAUCGUGGAUCAGCGUGCCACGGUGAAUGCGUUCCCGGGUCUUGUACUCACCGCCCGUCA
rnacentral:rRNA from 1 species